CCUUUACAAUAUAGCUCCUUCAAAUACCUAGAAAAACUGGUCUACUUGCAGUUCUCCAAACCUGACAUUCUACCUUUAUGUAGGCUCUGCUUCUCACCUGGAGAGCACACCCUUUUCAACAUAGUUUCUUAGAAUCCCUGACUUCCUUUAAGGCUCAGGUAUCACUUAUGGGGAAAUAUUUCCUCUUUAAAUUAUCUUAUAUUUACACAGGUGCUCACAUGUGGUGUUCUUCAGUAGAAUGUGAACUCCUUGAAGGGAGGGACUAUUUUUUCUUUUUUGUCUUCUCAUUCCCAAGGCACAUUCCCUUGUAAAGAGUUGUAGUGUUUGUUGAAUUGAAUCACUGAAGACUUGGCAUCUGAGUAGAAACGUUUACUAGCAUUUCUGUCAAGUGGACAGCUAACCUCAGCUUAAAGUCUCUGGGGGUGGGAGAGGUCAGUGCCCCCUGGAGGGGAGGGAAAGGGAAGAGAAAGAAGGUAUGUGUCUGUGGGGUUGGAGGGAGGGCUCUCUGACAUGGAAAAGAAUUAUUCUUUCUAGUAGUAAAGAGCUUAGGUUCUAGGAUAGCGCUAAGAUAGAAAACUAGGUAGGGUAAUUGUACCAAGGUCAAGUACAGAGGGCCCAGGAGGGAACUGCCUUCUCUCCACCUUAGAGUCAACAGGGGAGGGGUUCAUUUUCCCACAAUGGACCUUUCUUUCUGACACAAGCCAUACCAGCUGAGCCCUUCUCAGCUUUGGAAAUGAGUUCGGUUCCUCUCAGGAAGUAGAGAAUCAAGGAACAGAGAACACAGUAAUACCGGCAGGAGGGGUUGGGAGGGGGAGGUUACUUAACAGCAGAAGACUGAAGGUGGGUGAGUGGGAAGGCCUUUUGUGGAGAUGUGAGAUCUGGCCUAAGUAAGAAGUGCCAAACAACCCCAGAUGCCCUGUCCCUUCCCCUCGAACUCCUGGUUCCAGCAAGUUCUGUGUCCUUUGAAGGAUUUAGGGAGGUGUGUAUGUUGGAGGGAACUCUGCUGAAAGAAUGUGGAAGACAACUUUGGGGUAUAUUCUAGAAGAGGCAUUUUGUGGUGCCAGUGAUUCUGACCAAAUUCUUAGCAGGCAUUUGGGAUGGGGGAAUGCUGACUUGACAUUCACACAGUAAGCAGGGCUCUUAGAGGCCAUUCUAUUUCAACCCACACCAGAACAGGUGACCCAGAACCAGGCUGAGGAUGAAGAAGGGGAGAUGUUGACUGCCCCUCCCCCUAUCUUCCCCAGGUGUCAAGGUUGGCAGAAGACUUUCCUCACCAUAACCCUAUGAGUGCAAAGUGCUGCUAUCCCCAUUUCACAGAUGAGGAAACUAAGGCUCAGAGAGAUGACUUGCUCAAGCAAAUUGUACCCCUGGGAUCAGCACCCUGAUCUCUGGACUUCAAAUCUAUCAAGCUCCAACCACAACCAGCUGCCUUGCCUUUCCCUCUCUUUCUGGGGUUGUGUCCAGGAAAGCACUCUGCAAAUCUUCUGGAGCUAUAGAAGUAAGCUGUUACCACCACUAUUAAUAACUGUCCCCAGUGGGAAGGAAUUUCUCAGGCCAUUUCCUGACAGUAGGUUGGGGAAAGGGCUGCUUUGCCAAUGUGAUUUGAAGGGACAGGAGAGCGAGGACUGGGACAUGAAAGGCUGGAAGUGGAGGCAGGUCUAUCAAGUGAAUCAUUUUGCUAAGAACCUCUUCCUGUCAGUGACCAAUGAGAGGCAUCCUGGGACAGGGGAAAGGGCACAGGAUUUGGAUCCAGAAGACUGAGGUUUAUAUCCCACCUGUCACCUGCUGCCUCUGUGAAUCUGGGCAAUUUGGAUCUCAGUUUCUCCAUUUGCAAGCUGGGGUGAGAGGUGGGGAGGGGGGAUGGAUUGGAGAGCCUUUAAAGUUCCUUCCUGUUCUAAUGAUUUCUAUGAUCCUACUCUCUUUCCUCUCCCUCUGAUAAAGGUAAAGGCAUUUCCAGGCAGACGUGUGGUAAAUGGGGGUGGAAGUGCAAGAUCAGUUUAUUAACACUGCUGAAGCCCUCCUUUCCUUCUUUCCCCAGCUCCAGUUCUGGUCCAUUCAAAGUUUGAUUCCCUAGGUAAUCUUUAAUAUCAGCACUCUAGCUCAGGCCAGCAGGGCAGGACUGCCAGACAGAGCCCAGUAGGCUGGCAGCCCUAAUGGCCAGGCUCACCCACCUGAAUCCCAAAAGAAGCUUCAGCACUUAUUAACCCAAGAAAACCUUUCAUCCAGGCCCCCCUCUGACUGGGCUAGUCCCUCCCCCAGCACCUUCUCUUUCCUCUCUGGCUCAGUCCCAUGGCUCUUAGGCCCCUAUUUCAAUGAAUUCACUUCAACUCAUUUUAUGGAUGCUCUUAUGGGGUCCUCUCUGGGAGAUACCAUGGCUUGGAGGUCAAAGCAGAACACCAAAGCUUGGAGGGCCCUUAGGACAGACCUAGGAUAUGUCUUAGAACAUAGAAUACUGGGGCCGGGAGGAAUAAAGAAUGUCAGUACUGGGAGAGUCCUUGGAACACAAAAUGUCAGAACUGGGAAGGAUAUUACAAUAUAGAGUAUCAGAGCUUCGGGGUGGGAAGAUAUAGGAACGCAGAAUGUCAGUGCUGGGAGAGCCCUUAGGACUGAGAAUGUGGGAAGUGGGAGAGAUCUUAGAUCAGAAAAUGUAAGAACUGGAAGGGACCUUAGAACCAAGAUGUGCAGAGCUGGGAGGGGGCCUUUUAAGUCAUGGAUCCCUUUUGGCAAUGUGAUAAAGCCUAAGGACCCUUCUUAGAAUAAUGUUUUUAAAUGUAUAAAAUACAUACAAUUACAAAAAAAACCCCAAUGAUAUUGAAAUAUAAUUACUAAAAUACUUUGAAAAGCCAAGUCUAUGGACCCCAGGUUGAAAACACCUGAUCUAGUCUGACCACCUCAUUUUACUGAUAAGGAAACUUGAGACCCCGGAAUGGGAAAUGAGUUGCCCAAGGUUAUAAAGGUAGUUAUUAGUAUUAGACACAGGACUAGAAGAAUCCAAGUCUUUAGAUUACAACUUCAAGCAAACUUCGAAUUUCAGGAACCCAACCCCUCCAGUUCCCUUUGGGUAGAUACUAUAAGGAUGAUAACAGAGAUGGAGGGGGUGGUGCACGUUACCUGAUAAGAACUGAGUUAAGGUGAAGGAUGGCAGGAUAAACCCAAAGUGGACCUUUCAGAGCUCUAGAGAACUGGUGUUCCUAGCUUGGGAUCAUAGGAAAAGAUGACAGUCGAUGGCCAUUGGAAUCUCCAGUCCCUCCUCCCUUAGAGUACUUCUCUGUCCCCUUCUUUCCUCUCCCCCUCCACUCCAAUUUAGGAUGUGAAAUUGGUUCCUGGAAGAACUAGAGAAGAAUCUCAAAUAGUUCAGAGAAAGCUGCUCAGUGUCAGACUUCCAAGGUGGGCCCAGGGCAUCUGUAAUUCCCUUUUUCUAUUGACCUAGGCCAGCCUUCCCUCCCUGCUUUAGCAAAGAAAAUAAAGAGGUGGGGAGAAGGGGGUAAAGACAGAGCUCAACUUUGGCCCAUUUCCUUGUCCAGGCAGGCACCGAGGUGGCCGGAGCAGGGCGGAGGGGAGGGAACCGGUUUGUUCUUCGGUCUGGCCUCCUGUCCUGCAGAACCCAGGUUCUGCAGGGCCAUGGGGGGAAGGGGCCACUCGGGUCACUGCACAUGGUAGGGAGGCGGAGGUGGGGGGCGUGCUCUGUAGGCUGUACAGGGGGCUGAGUCUCCUGGCUGUGAGGGGGCCCUGGAGGGGGGAGCGGACGUUUUGCAGCUUUGUGUAGCGCCUGCGUAUUCCGGACAGGUCCUCCCCCGCAACUCCCCCACCCCAGGCGGGGAGGGAGUGUGGGGGAGGUUCUGCGGAAUGUGGGGAGAAAUGCCAGGGCUAUGGGAGCAGCUCUGGACUUGUGUUUCCCCUGGACUCGGAGCGAGCGAAGGAUGGGAGGUCGAUGCCUUGGACCCACAUUUGUGCCACGUCGUCCCCAAUAAAUGCAGCAGCAUCCCCUAUCCCCCCAUCCUUGGGGCUAAGAAAGCGGCCAAGUGGCGGCUGUAGCUCUGGGCAGUGGAGAGGAAGGAGGACCCGGGGAUCGGGAGACUGAGGGUGGAGGUGGGGGACCAAGAGCAGGGGCUGCAGUGCAGUGGCGAAGGGGUUAAGGCUUUGCAGCCGCUCGCGCCCUGGGGGGAGGGUCAGGCCUGAGCAGGCACAUUCCUCCUCCCUCCCUCUCCCUCUCUCUCUCUCCCUCCCUACCUCCUCCUCCUCCUCCUCCUCUCUUCUUCCUCCUUCUCUUCCCCCCCCAACUCGUGCCCGGGCCGGGCGCGCGCUCUCUGACACCCAUGUCCUUAUAAGGGCGGCCGUCGCCCGGGCAACCGUCCUUCUCUCUCUCUCUCUCUCUCUCUCUCUCUCUCUCUCUCUCUCUCUCUCUCUCUCUCUCUCUC